rnacentral:lncRNA from 1 species
GAACAGGAUCAGUGGUGGCGGCGUUGCGUUUUCUCCUUUUGUGAGAUUUAAAAGAGUCAUCUUCGUCCAUGACGAGUUUGAAACAUGUAAACAACGACUUCUUAUUAUUAUUGCUUUUAUUCAUUUCUUUCAUUAUAACAUCAAGAAUAAUAUGAUAUCCAGUUUUUUUUUAAAAGAAAUAUGAUUUCCACUAAAUUUAAAGAAUAAUCAAAACCAACAAAAGGGUUUUGGAACAUUAUUUUCCAACAAAAAGAGGCAAAAUCUCAAGUUAAAUCUAAAAUUAAGGUAUUUUUGUUUGGUUUGGUUUUUUUCUUGUGAUUGUGAAAUAGAGAGAUUGAUGGCGUGUAAGAUUUUGUUGUUCAAUUAUGUUGUUUGUAAGAAAUGUUGCUUUAGAGAGAAAAACGGUUGAAACUUUUUUUUAAGUUUUCUAAACCAAUCAAUUGAAAAUUAUGCCUAUGUUUACUUCUCUCCCUCUCUCUUCUUUUGGUAAUAAAACGUUCCAUAUUUAUCUUCUUAUUUUUGAAUAUCUAUAGUUGCUUACGUGGAAUAUAUAGUUUUGAUUUUUGAUAAUGAUUGAAUUUAUGUGUUAUUUAUACAACUAAUCUGUUUUAGAUACACCUUUUUUCAAAUAAUGAAGUUAGCAUGGUAAUCAUUUAUUCGUAACAUGAUAUCCUCUAAAUUUAUCAAAUGAAAUCAUAUACUUCAUAUAUAUAUCUCUCUCAUAUAUAUAUAUAAAUGUGAAAUUGCUAUAAUUUUUUUUAAAAUAUUAUUCAAAUUUGAUUUCACCGAUAUUUUAUUUAUGUUUAUCUCUAUUAUAGAUCAUGUCAUUUGAUAGUUUUAAGAAAUAGAAAAUAUCAUUAUUGAUAAGUAGGUAUUCAAAAUAAGUUUAAUAUAUAUGUAAUGUAUGUGUAAGAAAAUUUUACACUGACAUCGAAUACAAACUCAUGAUAUUGUCACAUAAGUUGUUUUGUAAUUAUAAUUUUAAAAUAAUCGUAAAAUAGUAAAUUUUCAAUGGACAUUAAUGUAAAACUAAUUUACACCAACAAAAUAUAUAUCCUUUUUUUUCAUUUGAAAUUGUAAGUAUUAGUCAAUGGUAUAUGAGUAUAUAUAUAUUUGAUAUUUUAAAUGUCAUUCAAUAUAAUCAUUCAAAUAAAAUUUUGUAGUUAAACAAUAUGUCAUGAUAGGUUAAAUUAACUUGACCUAAAAUGAGCUAAUUAAAAGGAAAAAUAAAGAAUAUUUCAAGUCAAGACUUUAUAAUAGUUUUUAGUUUUAUCUGUAUUUAAUUUGAAUUGUAAUGGUUUUAGUUAAGUGGUGUAAGCCCAAUAUGGUUUUAGAGAAUUGACAUUUGGUCCAUUUUAGGAAUAAGGUAAAUCCCUAUUUAAAUACCUUGUAAGAGUCUCAUUUUGGAUAACUUUGAAAUGAAAUGAAAUUUCUCUAAUGAGAGUUGUGAGUGAGAUGUGGCUCCUCUUUGAGUUAUUCGAUUAUAACUUGUUUAAAUCUUAUCAAUGGAUUUCUUACCAUUGUGACGAUUCAACAUUGGCUUAUCAAUCGUCCUUGAUUGCGGCGUCUUCUUCAUCUUUUCCAUCUAACCCAUGUUUGUUUGUUUCUUUUCCUUUUUAUUUUACAACUUUAUCUCAAGAAAUCACUUGGUUAGAUCUUCAAUCUCAUGUGGAAGCACUCAAAUCCACAUUAGCAUGGGUACAACAUUAAUGUCAUGUCGAUAGAAAUUCAUGUGGCAUAUUAAAUUUAUGUAUUUGAUGUCGUGCUCUAAAGUGGUUACCUUAUAAUUCAAACACCUUAAGACUUUGUUUGAAUUGAUGAAAUGAAGUGAUGUACAUGAAAUUAUAUUUUAGUGUUUAAAUUUAUAAAAAUUUAAUUGAGC